rnacentral:misc_RNA from 1 species
GAUGAACGUAGCGAAAUGCGAUAAGUAGUGUGAAUUGCAGAAUUCAGUGAAUCAUCGAAUCUUUGAACGCACAUUGCGCCCCUUGGUAUUCCAUGGGGCAUGCCUGUUCGAGCGUCAUUUGUACCUUCAAGCUUUGCUUGGUGUUGGGUGUUUGUCUCGCCUUUGCGUGUAGACUCGCCUUAAAAUAAUUGGCAGCCGGCGUAUUGAUUUCGGAGCGCAGUACAUCUCGCGCUUUGCACUCAUAACGACGACGUCCAAAAGUACAUUUUUACACUCUUGACCUCGGAUCAGGUAGGGAUACCCGCUGAACUUAAGCAUAUCAAUAAGCGGAGGA